rnacentral:rRNA from 1 species
UACGGAGGGUGCAAACGUUGCUCGGAAUCAUUGGGCGUAAAGCGCACGUAGGCGGUCCUUUAAGUCGGGUGUGAAAGCCCUCGGCUCAACCGAGGAAGUGCAUUCGAAACUGGGGGACUUGAAUACUGGAGAGGAUGGCGGAAUUCCCGGUGUAGAGGUGAAAUUCGUAGAUAUCGGGAGGAACACCAAUGGCGAAGGCAGCUCGCUGGGACGGUACUGACGCUGAGACACGAAAGCGUGGGUAGCAAACAGG